AUGGACCCGCAUGGGCAUGGAGGACCAGGUGGAGGAGGCCCUGUAGGGUGGGGUCCGGUACCACCUGGAGGGCCUGGAUUUCUCGGUGGCCCUGGCCCUGGUUCUUGGGGGCCUGGAUUUCCGGGUGGCUUUGGCCCUGGUUCUUGGGGCCCUGGAUUUCUCGGUGACCCUGGCCCUGGUUGGGGAUCUGGAUUUGGUCGCUUUUUCGGAUCCUGCUUCUAUCAUCUCUGCUGCUGCUGCCUGCUCCAGGACUGCUGUGGCCCUCUAUUCGGACACCCAGGCCCAGGCGGUCCACCACCCCCUUUCUGA
rnacentral:rRNA from 1 species